rnacentral:rRNA from 1 species
GACGAACGCUGGCGGCGUGCCUAACACAUGCAAGUCGAACGGAGAUAGGUUGAAGGUUUACCGGAUUCUUAUCUUAGUGGCGGACGGGCGAGUAACGCGUGAGCAACCUGCCCCAGACUGGGGGAUAACGUCGGGAAACCGGCGCUAAUACCGCAUAACACUGCGAAGCCGCAUGGUUUUGCAGUCAAAGCUCCGGCGGUUUGGGAUGGGCUCGCGUCCAAUUAGCUAGUUGGUGAGGUAACGGCCCACCAAGGCGACGAUUGGUAGCCGAACUGAGAGGUUGAUCGGCCGCAUUGGGACUGAGACACGGCCCAGACUCCUACGGGAGGCAGCAGUGGGGAAUAUUGCGCAAUGGGGGAAACCCUGACGCAGCAACGCCGCGUGAAGGAAGAAGGCCUCGGGUUGUAACUCUUGAUCGGGACGAAGAUGACGGUACCCGAGGAACAAGCCACGGCUAACUACGUG